AUUGAACGCUGGCGGCAGGCCUAACACAUGCAAGUCGAGCGAGCGGCGGACGGGUGAGUAAUGUAUGGGGACUGCCCGAUAGCGGGGGAUAACUACUGGAAACGGUAGCUAAUACCGCAUACUAUCGGAUAACCCAUAUGGGAUUAGAUAGGAGGUGAGGUAAUGGCUCACCUAGGCGACGAUGCCUAGCUGGUCUGAGAGGAUGAUCAGCCACACUGGGACUGAGCCACGGCCCAGACUCCGACGGAUGCAGCAGUGGGGAAUAUUGCACAAUGGGCGCAAGCCUGAUGCAGCCAUGCCGCGUGUAUGGAGAAGGCCCUAGGGUUGUAAAGUACUUUCAGUCGGGAGGCGUUACAGAAAGAAGAAGCACCGGCUAACUCCGUGCCAGCCGCCGCGGUAAUAG
rnacentral:rRNA from 1 species